CAGUAGCCACGGUAAUACGGAGGGGGCUAGCGUUGUUCGGAAUUACUGGGCGUAAAGCGCACGUAGGCGGCUUGGUAAGUUAGAGGUGAAAGCCUGGAGCUCAACUCCAGAAUUGCCUUUAAGACUGCCGAGCUAGCAGGUGAGAGAGGUAAGUGGAAUUCCGAGUGUAGAGGUGAAAUUCGUAGAUAUUCGGAAGAACACCAGUGGCGAAGGCGGCUUACUGGCUCAUACUGGACGCUGAGGUGCGAAAGCGUGGGGAGCAAACAGGAUUAGAUACCCCAGUAGUCCCUGUCUCUUAUAC
rnacentral:rRNA from 1 species